UGAGCAAUCUGCCCUUCUCUUUGGAAUAAGCGUUGGAAACGACGUCUAAUGCCGAAUACGACCUCCUUUCGCAUGAUCGGAGGUGGAAAGCUCCGGCGGAGAAGGAUGAGCUCGCGGCCUAUCAGCUUGUUGGUGAGGUAAUGGCUCACCAAGGCAUUGACGGGUAGCCGGCCUGAGAGGGUGACCGGCCACACUGGGACUGAGACACGGCCCAGACCUCCGUAGGGAGG
rnacentral:rRNA from 1 species